GAUGAACGCUAGCGGGAGGCUUAACACAUGCAAGUCGAGGGGCAGCAUAGGGUAGCAAUACUCUGAUGGCGACCGGCAAACGGGUGAGUAACGCGUAUGUAACCUACCCUGUACAGGGGGAUAACCCGGAGAAAUUCGGACUAAUAUCCCAUAACAAUAUCCGGGGGCAUCUUUGGAUAUUUAAAGUUCCGGCGGUACGGGAUGGGCAUGCGUAACAUUAGCUAGUUGGUAAGGUAACGGCUUACCAAGGCUUUGAUGUUUAGGGGUCCUGAGAGGGUGGUCCCCCACACUGGUACUGAGACACGGACCAGACUCCUACGGGAGGCAGCAGUGAGGAAUAUUGGUCAAUGGGCGCAAGCCUGAACCAGCCAUGCCGCGUGCAGGAUGACGGUCCUAUGGAUUGUUAAACUAGCUUUUGUCACAGGAAGAAACAACGCUACGUGUAGCGUCUUGACGGUACUGUGAGAAUAAGGAUCGGCUAACUCCGUGCCAGCAGCCGCCGGUAAUCAUA
rnacentral:rRNA from 1 species